rnacentral:rRNA from 1 species
CCUACGGGAGGCAGCAGUAGGGAAUCUUUCACAAUGGGCGAAAGCCUGAUGGAGCAACGCCGCGUGCAGGAUGAAGGCCUUCGGGUUGUAAACUGCUUUUAUAAGCGAGAAAUAUGAUGGUAACUGAUGAAUAAGGAGCGGCUAACGACGUGCCAGCAGCCGCGGUCAUACGGAGGAUCCGAGCAUUAUCCGGAGUGACUGGGUGUAAAGAGUUGCGUAGGUGGCAUAAUAAGUAGCUACUGCAAUCUGGUGGCUCAACCAUUCAGACUAUUAGCUAAACUGUUAAGCUCGAGACCGUUAGGGGUAACUGGAAUUUCUAGUGUAGGAGUGAAAUCCGUAGAUAUUAGAAGGAACACCAAUAGCGUAGGCAGGUUACUGGGACGGUUCUGACACUCAGGCACGAAAGCGUAGGGAGCAAACGGGAUUAGAUACCCUUGUAGUC